ACUAGAACUGUGCUAACAAGAAAGCAUCUCUUACUUGACUGGAUCCAUCAUCUUAAUCUUCUUUCAUUAAUGAGCCAAUCCUUUUUAUCUAUCUGUGCUGUGUUUUCAAAGCCUAUCUGUCUCGCCUAGACACUCUCCAUUGAAGAUUUGGUCUCUCGUUUAGAAUUUAACCCUUGUACACGUUCACCUUCCUUAUGAUACACCAUGAAUUUUCCCUUGACUCUUCUUUUCACUUUACUGUUUGUCUCCUUCUCCCACCUCAUUCUUCAUUCAAGUUUGGCCAUGGAAAAGCUUGAAGAUACCGGAAAUACCAAAAUGAAAUCAUCAAAUCUUAAAGUCAAGUCAUUUGCAGAUCAAGGCGAUCGUGUUCAAAGGAAAUACUUGCAUGAAGUACAUUCAGGACCUAAUCCUAUCAGUAAUUCCGUUCCUCCACAAAAGUGGAAAACAAGGAUUCGGGGAAGUCCAUAAAUUCUUUCGUUUCAUCAUUUCUGUCAACUAGACUUGCAACAUUAUGAAAAAACAUUAGCAGAUCGCUUAUUUAUUGAUGCCUUUUUUGACUUGCUAUCAUUACAGCAACAGUCAUCAUCAUCAUCAUUUGUUCUAUCAUUUGAAUUGAGCUGAUAAACAUUAGUAAUUCAAACGUUAUUCAAUAUCCCAGCAACAUAUAUAGUCGUGCUGUACUGUAUUAAUUUUGAAGCAAUGAUGCCAAAAUAAUGUAUUGCUGUGCA